AUCUCACUUUCAUGUGUAUCUGAUCUGGUAUUAGCUGUUAUAUUUCUUAAAAAUGAUAGUAUUUUAGAAUUUGUGACCAAUGAAUCAUUUUCCAUUUGAUAAUACCAUCACAGAGAUUAUUAAAUGAAAUACUAAUGGAUAAUUUCUAUAAACAAUUUUGUAUAUCUUACACAAAGCAGUCCCCUUUCCUUAAGUUUUUUUUUUUCUGAUUAAUUCUAAAGAUUUCAUACUUUAAAAGUUGUAUAUAUUGUUCCUGCCUUUAACAGAUUGAGCUUGCAAAAUGCCAUAAUGCUAAUUGAUUUAUAAUGGCUCUUGGAACCCUCAACACUGUAAACUGAAUAGUGUCAGUCGUUAUAUUCCACUGAUCUCCGUCUAAUCUCCGAUUGCUGCAUACAUAGGGUAGAGGGCGCCGAAUUAUUUGAGUUAUCAACACUAGUCAAAAUACAGAUGAUUAUAUAUCUUCAAUUAUCACCCUUCACAGGGCAUCUGUUUGAUCUCCAUAUUUAUAAAAAAAAUUCUAAUUUCUUCAAACAUAUAGGUUUUCAUUGAACUUAAACUGCAGAAUAAAUACAUUCUAUUAUUUUCUCAUUUUGACUUUAAUAAAUCAGAUAUGAGCAAAAGUAGUACCUUACAAAAUAUUUGAUACAAGAUAUAUUUUCUAAAUAUGACUAGUAGUUUUUAAGUAUCUAUUUUACUCCAAUACCUGUCGGGGUUAAACUGUUGCUCAUACUUGAAGUAUUUGUGAGUAUUUGUCAAGUUCUAGUUUUUCUGUAUAUUGUUAGUUAUUUUUAUUGCCUGUCUUAUUUGUUAAACUUGUUCUAUAAUUAUUGUAAUGCUAGGAAGAAUUACUUUUUCCAUACAUAAAUGUUAUCGGACAAAUACCUAAUGACUUUUGACCUUUGCCCUGUAGCAGAAUUGGCAGACAUAACUUACUGAGUAGUUUACAGUAUUAUUAAAAGUAUUAGUACCUGGUCAUUCAUGGUCAAUGACAUGUUUGAAGGUAAUAUUACAACACUAUUACAUGUACAUGUAGUAGAUUACCUGAUAAACCACCUUUUUUUAUUCAUAAAUGGUAAUUUGUACAUUUUAUGUAAUUCUUACAUUUUCUAAUUUCUGAUCGAAAUCCAUUUAUUUAUUUUCCCCACUUUUAUGAAAAGAAGUAAAAUUAUCUGUAAUAGACCAUACUUUUAAGCUUGCUCAUCUUGACUUUUUUUUUUUAUUUAGAAUAAAGGAUAUGUCAAAAUUACUUCUUUUUUUUUAAUUUUGUUUUGGGGGGAGGUGUUACUGUAUAACAGUGAUUUUUCAUUUAUAGAAAUUCAUAAGUUGUUUUCUUAUUAAAUUUUGAAUGCUUUUCUUGAAUUUAAUAAAGAUAAUGCUGAAUGUUUGCUGAAGAUUACACUUCUUAGAAUCUUUCUUUUUUUUUUUAUUGAAAAAUGACAAUGUGUUGUUUUUUUUUUAACUAUAUGUCCAUACAUCAAUACUAAGUUAUGGGUCUUAAAAAAAAAUGGCACUGCAUUGCUUAUCUCUUUGCAUGAGAAUUUAUUUAUCUGCAUAAAUAUUUUGUCAUGUGUUCUUAUUUUUAUACAAAUAUAUGCUAGUAACUUAAAAGUAAAAUUAAAAAUAAAUGUGCUUCUUUUAUUUUAUUAAAACGAAAUUUAUUACAGCUAUUAACCAAUAUUCAAUUUAGAUAGAAAUGAAAACAAUAUCACAAUUCCCUCUAAUUUUCAAUUCUUCUUAUUUGAAACUGUAUUUCAUAUGAUCUCAUGAAAGAGUCAUGAUAAAUAGGGGGAGGGAAUCCCAAGUAAAAAAAUGCCAAAACUUGAAUUCCAGUGGAUAUUUCCAUUUCUGCAUCAUGAUUUAACUAGAUCCAAAAUUCCUGAAUUUCUGACGAUUAACGGACUUUUCAUGAAUCCCUAAAUAUGGUCCUUCCUUUCCUUAUAAAUGUCAAUAAUAAAUUUUAUAAUUUUUUUUUCCAAAUCCUAAUUUUUUAUUUUUAUUUUUUUUGAAAACCGCAAUGAAUAUAUUCAACUAUUUCUAGGAUAAAAGUAUAUUUUGAGAGCUGUUUUUGUAACCUUUAAAUGUAAGUUGCUAUCAGUUAAUUGAUUAUUUAAUUAUGUACCAUGUAUGUAAAUGUAAUAUUAUUGAUUUUUUACUUAUAAUUUAUACAUGUAUUGUCAAAUGUCAUUGUAUGUAAAUUUGACAGUUUUGUUUUUCAGUUGUUAUCUGAUAUUAACAGAUAAUGUCAGUUUGUUGGGUUGUUUUUAUUUUUAGUUUGUUAUUAUCUAUAAUUAAAUUGAAUAAUCAGAAUUAAUUGUGUCGAAUUUUAUUACAUUAAGCAUAAAAUUAACAUAUUGUGUAUACCAC
rnacentral:lncRNA from 1 species